rnacentral:tRNA from 1 species
CGACGCGCUCGCCCGCGUUCGCGACAUCGCGCUUUCACGCGGCGCGCGCAAGGCCGAGCGCCUGUGCGUCAGCGUGCCGUCGCAUUGCGUGCUGC